rnacentral:rRNA from 1 species
GUGCCAGCAGCCGCGGUAAUACCGGCAGCCCAAGUGAUGGCUGAUCUUAUUGGGCCUAAAGCGUCCGUAGCUGGCUGCGCAAGUCCGUCGGGAAAUCCACUCGCCCAACGAGUGGGCGUCCGACGGAAACUGCACAGCUUGGGACCGGAAGGCUCGAAGGGUACGUCCGGGGUAGGAGUGAAAUCCCGUAAUCCCGAACGGACCACCGAUGGCGAAAGCAUCUCGAGAAAACGGAUCCGACAGUGAGGGACGAAAGCUAGGGUCUCGAACCGGAUUAGAAACCCCUGUAGUCC